rnacentral:misc_RNA from 1 species
GUCUGCUAAGCUUCCUUACCCAUCAGAAUUAACUGGAACGUCAUUUGAUCAAGCUGAAAGAAAAUUUGGUUUCAUGCGAGUCUUGUGGCAGUCCAGCAAACUACUUGUGUUGCCUGCUCGGUGAAUAAAUAGUACCUAAGUUCUGUAUUGAUAGUUCCUGUGGAAGAUUCGAGGUUUACAAGUUGGGCGGGCCUAUGAAGAUUGUGUAGGGUCUUACAAUUGUAUCUUCCCCAUGCUGUCACUGUGCAGACCAUUAUAUCUGAUUCUCUUGAUCUGGAAAACUAUCCAGUCCUAACUGAGAGGUGUUACUAUCCCGGUGUGUCUUGUUGGGGCCGUCAGAUGUCUCGGGAUAGUCCCCAUCCUACCGUGCAUGAUGCAAACCUUGAUGUUUAGGAUGUACAAGACCCAGAUUCUGAAAGACUAGUCUCAGUCAUUUGCUACCUGUACAUUGUGGAGGUUUAGGAUGUACAAGAUUACUAUUUACUGUUCUCAUGCAACAUCUUGUAUUACUUAAUAUGGUAAAUUAGAAAAACAGGAUAAUUUUGUCACAUAAU